rnacentral:rRNA from 1 species
CCCUUAGAUGUUCUGGGCCGCACGCGCGCUCCACUGAUGCAUUCAACGAGUCUAAAACCUGCUCUGAUAGGGGUGGGUAAUCUUUUGAAUGUGCAUCGUGAUUGGGAUAGAUGAUUGCAAUUUUUCAUCUUCAACGAGGAAUGCCUAGUAAACGCAAGUCAUCAGCUUGCAUUGAUUACGUCCCUGCCCUUUGUACACACCGCCCGUCGCUCCUACCGAUUGAAUGAUCCGAUGAAUAUCAUGGAUUGAGGAUGCAAGCAGGUUCGCCUGUCUUCAUCUUCGAGAAGUGAAGUAAAUCUUAUCAUUUAGAGGAAGGAGAAGUCGUAACA